AGUUGCAGUUUCCGCGGAAAGUCCCUCCGGCACUCCGUUUCUUUCUGCUUCCUUUCCCCAUUUUUCCGUUCCUUCGUUUAGACUUCGUUGCGACACUCUAUCAUGCACACGACACAUGCAGAAGACAAACGAAACUAUAGCAAACGUAAAAAUAAAUAAAAAUGAUGAACCAUGAGAAUCGAAAGUCCAUAGAGAGGCGAAAAGACAGUCGAGGAAACCGCCUAGCCAGACGUAACCUAUAUAGCUAGACGAAAUGUUCGUAGUGGGUAUAUUCGACGAAACGGUCCAAUUAGCGUAGCCACGAACAGCGAGAAUCUUCUGUGUGUCUCGUCGUCGACUGGGAACGCCGGCCACGUCAAUGACGAGGAACGAGGCCAGCCCGAUCGGCCAGCUAUAUCUCUCCAUCGGUCUGUCUUUCACACGUGAAGACGCGUGACGCAAUGUUCGAGAUGUUGGUCAUGAACGAUCAUUCUCGGCCGUUGCGAUUAAAGAUGGAAUUCCCUUAGAAGCGUUGGACGUCGCAUCGAAGAGUCAGAUGCUUUAGCGAUUUUUUUCAGCCACACGUAUGUACGUAUCGCGUUAGAGAUUUUCUAUCGUGAUACGUUCAACGCGAAUUGUACUUGCGAAAGGAGAGAAGAAAAGAAAGAAAGGACCUUUAAAUAAUAGGUCGUAUUCGCAGUGGACGCCGACGUUUCGAAGAACUGUAGUUCCGACGAAUGACGGGAGUCACCUGUUUCUAAAAUCUACGUACAGAAAUUGUGUAUUUGAUAGUCGUUGGAAAACGCAUCCGCUGUGAUCAAUGGUCUUUUGUUCGACGCGCACAUCCAACGCUUAUGGGAGAUAACACGUUUAUCGAGGGACUAUCGCGAAACCUCAUUUACGUUAGACUAGGAAUAAGACGAGUGGACCACUUCUGAUCGAACAAUUUCAAAUCUUUUCCACUUGGUUCCACCCUUUCGUGUAACUACAGUUACACGCGUUAAAAUAAUUACCGUCAAUUCUGAAGUUUACUGGAGCAUGACACUUGUUACACAGUUACCUCGUAAUUUCUUGUUUGAUAGAACCGUUUCGUAAAUUUAAUUAAUCUUAGCUCAACACGAAGCAACGUUGCGUUCUUGCUGCAGUAGAAUUGCAGUAACGAAAGGGUUAACUGGCUGUGCUUAUAUAGGUGAAGGUUUCGGUCAAAAAUUGUCUAACGUGAACGAGGUUCAAGCGUCGUUACGGCGGUCGAUGAGAGGCAGACGAUUCGCGAGAAACGUGGCACGCUGUGCGGUACUACUCUUGGUCUAAGAUCGAACGAUCUGUCGCGUUAUCAGUUACAUUUUCGGCUCCGACGAACGUAUUUACAAUAGGCGCACUAUCAACGAGAAGAAUAGGGGGAAGAAAACGUCAAGGGAACCAAAAAGGAACAAAAAUGUAAAUGAAAAAAAAAAAAGAAUAACGAGAACGACGAAGGAAAUUGUGCACGAAUAGGUACACACAUAGGGAAAUCGACCGAGCGAACAAAAGAGAAAUUAAACUUGUAGACCAUGCCGAUACAAACUAAGGACUAACGAUCAUAGGGCGUAAUCGAUUUUAUUACCGAGAUAAAUAAAUGUGUGUGUGUGUGUGAGAGAGAGAGAGAGAAAGAGAAAGAGAGAGAGAGAGAGAGAGAAAGAGGUAAAAAUAGUUAAUAAUAAUGAUAACGGGGAAUUAAAAAGAAAAAAAAAAGAUAAUUAUUCUUACUACUUCUUAUUGUUACUACGAUUAUAUUCUUAUUCUUAUGGUUAUUCUAACAUUGCAAGUGUUAUGUUACGAUUGCAAUUAUUAUAUACACACCUUUAAUUAUUAUAUAGUGUAUAGAUAAUAUUACGGAUGAUGAGGAUAAAUGAAGCAAGCAUUACGAAAAAAAAAUUUGCAGAAAAGGAAAAUCCAACCAAAAAAAAGAAAAAAAAAAAAAAACUAUGGAGAAUUAAUCACAUGUGCAUUUAAUGUAUUUCAUACUAAUUUUUUGAUUAAACAUAAUUGUGUGUUAACCGA